CCUACGGGAGGCAGCAGUGGGGGAUAUUGCACAAUGGGGGAAACCCUGAUGCAGCGACGCCGCGUGUGGGAAGACGGUCUUCUGGAUUGUAAACCACUGUCCCCAGGGACGAAAAUGACGGUACCUGGGGAGGAAGCUCCGGCUAACUACGUGCCAGCAGCCGCGGUAAUACGUAGGGAGCAAGCGUGGUCCGGAAUUACUGGGUGUAAAGGGAGCGUAGGCGGGGAGGCAAGUUGGGUGUCAAAACUACCGGCUCAACCGAGAGUCGCACUCCAAACUGCAGCUCUUGAGUGCAGUAGCGGCAGGCGGAAUUCCUAGUGUAGCGGUGAAAUGCGUAGAUAUUAGGAGGAACACCAGUGGCGAAGGCGGCCUGCUGGGCUUUUACUGACGCUGAGGCUCGAAAGUGUGGGGAGCAAACAGGAUUAGAUACCCCAGUAGUC
rnacentral:rRNA from 1 species